rnacentral:rRNA from 1 species
AUGCUCCUUCACGGCCGGGUGGUCAUGAUGAUUAGCAGACCUGCACAAGUUUCGGCCAAGGAACCAUCAUCGGGCAGCAGGGUGUCCCCGGAGUUCUAUGCAACAACGGUCAUUGAACUCGUACCAUAUAACUGGAAUUACCGAUGCAAGCCGAAGAAGGAUUGGCCGGUGCUGCCGGCUCGCGUCAAGUUCGAUCCCACGGAUCAGGAGCUGAUCGAGCACCUUGAGGCCAAAGUGAGUGCUGACAGUGCGGGAUCUCACCCUCUCAUCGAUUUGUUUAUACCAACCAUCGACAGCGAGCACGGCAUAUGCUACACCCAUCCUGAGAAACUUCCAGGUAUCACAUUGAAUGGCCUAAGGAAGCAUUUCUUCCAAUGCAAUUCCAGGGCAUUCAAAAGGGGUACGUGGACGCGUCGCAAGAUACAGUCGGAGUGCGGCAUGCACGCGAUGUGGCACCAGACCGGCAAUACCUUGCUGGUGAUGGUCAACGGCUGGCAGACGGGCAGCAAAAAGGUUCUGGUGCUGCACACCAACAAGAACUUCGACCAGCAGAGGACCAACUGGGUGAUGCACUAG